rnacentral:rRNA from 1 species
ACAGGCUUAACACAUGCAAGUCGAGGGCAGCAUGGUCUUAGCUUGCUAAGGCUGAUGGCGACCGGCGCACGGGUGAGUAACACGUAUCCAACCUGCCGUCUACUCUUGGCCAGCCUUCUGAAAGGAAGAUUAAUCCAGGAUGGCAUCAUGAGUUCACAUGUCCGCAUGAUUAAAGGUAUUUUCCGGUAGACGAUGGGGAUGCGUUCCAUUAGAUAGUAGGCGGGGUAACGGCCCACCUAGUCAACGAUGGAUAGGGGUUCUGAGAGGAAGGUCCCCCACAUUGGAACUGAGACACGGUCCAAACUCCUACGGGAGGCAGCAGUGAGGAAUAUUGGUCAAUGGGCGAUGGCCUGAACCAGCCAAGUAGCGUGAAGGAUGACUGCCCUAUGGGUUGUAAACUUCUUUUAUAAAGGAAUAAAGUCGGGUAUGCAUACCCGUUUGCAUGUACUUUAUGAAUAAGGAUCGGCUAACUCCGUGCCAGCAGCCGCGGUAAUACGGAGGAUCCGAGCGUUAUCCGGAUUUAUUGGGUUUAAAGGGAGCGUAGAUGGAUGUUUAAGUCAGUUGUGAAAGUUUGCGGCUCAACCGUAAAAUUGCAGUUGAUACUGGAUGUCUUGAGUGCAGUUGAGGCAGGCGGAAUUCGUGGUGUAGCGGUGAAAUGCUUAGAUAUCACGAAGAACUCCGAUUGCGAAGGCAGCCUGCUAAGCUGCAACUGAC